rnacentral:misc_RNA from 1 species
UACGAAGGGGGCUAGCGUUGUUCGGAUUUACUGGGCGUAAAGCGCACGUAGGCGGGCUAUUAAGUCAGGGGUGAAAUCCCGGAGCUCAACUCCGGAACUGCCUCUGAUACUGCUAGCCUUGAGUCCGAGAGAGGUGAGUGGAACUCCUAGUGUAGAGGUGGAAUUCGUAGAGAUCUGGAGGAAUACCGAUGGCGAAGGCGGCUCACUGGUCCGGUACUGACGCUGAGGUGCGAAAGCGUGGGGAGCAAACAGG